CCUAGGGCAUUUUUUGGCCUUUUACUAAAAUGUGUGUGUGUGUGUGUCUGUGUGUAUGUUUGUUCACGCUGCCCAGUGGUGUUUUUCAGAAUCACUAACCAUUAAACCAGGGGUAGUGAACCUAUGUCUCGAGGGCCCUUGAGGCCGUUUUAUCCGGCCCCUGAUAUCAUUAUAAUGUUUUGCAACUUCACAUGAAAUAGGCCUAUGACAUAUUUUGCAGGCCUAAAGGAAUCUUAGAAAUUACAUUUCCAAUGCAAUUAAGUUAGGCCUAUAUUCAGGGGACCUAGAAAAGGUGGGGACUGUUUUAAAUGUGUCUACCUUUAAAGGUGUCUAUAUGUCUAUAUAGGCCUAAUGGUGUCUAUAUAUGCCUAAAUUUCAUGGGGAAAUCCUGAUUUGUGUUCAUAGUACGGCCCCCGGAGGAUUUUAUGACCAUGGUAGGAAUUUGAAGUGGCCCUUCGAAUGAAAAAGGUUCCCCACCCCUGCAUUAAACCUUUCUUCUAGCCACAGCUCUGCUGUCAGUACAUUUUAUUAUGAUACUAUAAGCUCAGAAAUGAAGUUGAUCAAACAAUUCGGUGCUAACAUUUAAAUGAACCGAAUAGAAAUCAGAAUAGAAACAUCUGAAUGAUCUUUCUUGGACAUAGCCUACAUUUUGAAGUGACCCUUUGAAUUAAAAAGGUUCCUCACCCCUGCUUUUGAGGAAAAACAUCAAUGUGCUUGGCCACUCUGGUUUUUAAAUUAUUCUGAACUAGCAAGGAUUGUUCAAGGAAGUUCAAAACAGACUGUCUCUGGUUAAAUUAGUUCUACACCAAGCCUUUAGGUGGCAGUACAACUAAUUCGCACAAUGCGAAUUCCACACACAAGCCACAAAGAAGCCAUCUACCGCGGUCAACAACACCGACCUAUCUGAACAACACCACGCGCUGUCUGUGUGGUUUCACUGUUACAAGUUUCUUGGCGAUAUGGGGGAAAGUUCCUCACAUACCAACGGAAAAUGGGCUUCACAUACAUGCUGCUGUCUCAUAAUAUGGCGAAGACGAGUCACUUGAAGGCCUAACAGCUCUUAUGAGGAGCAGUCUUGCCAUAGAAGACUGAAAGAAUGAGCUGUAGAAACAACAGGGUGCCUGCUGCAGUAUGACGAGGACGCCCUGAUCAUAGAAGGUCCAGUGUCUUGGCAGGGUGAAAUGGCACUGAUAUCGGUAUGUGGUGAUAUCAGUUAAAAUUAAUGAAUUAAUUCUCAUAUCUGAAUAAUGUGAACACUGGAUUUACCACACACUCACACACACCCUAGUCCUAGAUGAUACAACCAAGGUUACUUUUACCACAGCUCUGGCACUGCAUCAAAUUUCUUUUCUUUUUUAUAGAACUGGACAGGUCAUUUAUUCGUUCCCCUUGUUUUUUGCAGUGUCCUGCAGGAUGCUGUGUCCUGCAAUCCUGUGUGCUGUGCUACAGACGCGUGUGGAGGUCAACCCGAAAUGGGCACAGUAGAGUGAAAGAGGGUAAGCUUAACCUAUAGCCUACGUCAGGGUUGGGGAACCUUUCUCAUUCGAAUGGCCACUUCAAAUUCAUCCGAGGGGCCAUAAAAGUCCUCCAAGGGCCGUACUAUGAACACAAACCAGGAUUUUCCCUUUCACUUUAGGCCUAUAUUGAAGGCAGCCACAUUUAAACAAACGCCAACUUCAGGUUCCCUGAAUAUAACUUAAUUGUAUUGCUAAUGUAUUUUCUAAGAUUCCUUUACAAAAUAUGUCAUAUUUCAUGUGAAGAUGGAAUUGCAUUAAAAUUAUAUCGGGGGCCGGAUAAAACAGCCUCAAGGGUCGCAAACGGCCCUAGAGACAUAGGUUCCCCACCCCUGUCCUACAUUGUCAAUAUGACUUGUGCUACUUUAUAGAUAAGUUGUCAAUGCUGUGCAUUGCUAUGUUUUGAUUUAUUUUCUUACAUCCUACAGAUCCUGGCAGGGAGACGGUAGUGUCCUGCAGGAUGGUGAUGGGCAAUCUUACAAGAGACCACAGAAAACUGAUAUAGUGUAAGAUUAUCCCUGUUGGGCUCAAUAUGUCUUGCUUAUUGAUAUAUUUGCUAUGUCAAUAUGAGGUGCAUGACGAAGUAUUUAUUUAUUUGUUAUUUCUACAGCUCCCAGAAGUGAGACUGAGUGCCUGUUGCAGUAUGACGAGGAAGCAGUGACCAGAGACCUUCAGUAGACCCUGCUGGCAUGAUUGGCGGCUGAAGAACAUAAUCAACAGCAAUGUUUACUUUAUAAUAUUGUACAUACCUGUAUAGUCUGCACUAAAAUGCUGUACCUGUACUAUUUUUCCUCUUACUUUCAUAUUUACCACGUAUUUACUAUGAAUUGACAACUUUUACUCAAAUCCAUUUUUGUAUGUGCCCUGACUAAAACUAUCCUUAAACCUAACCUGUCAGAGGUGUAAUAACAACCUGCUCUUAGCAAUGUGGCAGCAGUCUACUUGGAUGCAGCGGGGAACAUAGAACCCUUUUUUUGAAAAAGCAUUGUAUGUUUCUGAGUUUUAUGAAUUGUGCCCUUCCCAAACCUAACCUGUCGUAGGGGCCUAUGAAAUCCGUUUUAUUUUUCCUCAUUCAGUUUUUUUCUGAUUUAUUUUUUGC